rnacentral:rRNA from 1 species
UACAGAGGUCCCAAGCGUUGUUCGGAUUCACUGGGCGUAAAGGGCGCGUAGGCGGCGUGGAAAGUCUGGUGUGAAAUUCCGGGGCUCAACCUCGGAACUGCACUGGAUACUACCUCGCUAGAGGACUGGAGAGGGAACCGGAAUUCACGGUGUAGCAGUGAAAUGCGUAGAUAUCGUGAGGAAGACCCGAGGCGAAGGCGGGUUCCUGGACAGUUCCUGACGCUGAGGCGCGAAGGCGAGGGGAGCAAACAGG